AUGGCCCCACCUAAGGACUCGGAAUACAAAAACGCGGGCAAAUCCGGUGCGUGUCUCAGAAUGACAUAUCACAUGUUAUAUUAAUUAUUUGGGAUGAAAUUUAAAAUAAAUAAAUUUAGUAUGCUUGCUUUUGCAUAAAACCAUCCCACGCGCCCGUCGGACGGAGCGUGAAGUAAAGAGCUAUGGCCCCACCUAAGGACCCGGAAUACAAAAACGCGGGCGAAUCCGGUGCGUGUCUCAGAAUGACAUAUCACAUGUUAUAUUAAUUAUUUGGGAUGAAAUUUAAAAUAAAUAAAUUUAGUAUGCUUGCUUUUGCAUAAAACCUUCUUUUUUUUGUAGGGUUAUUUUGGAUCUAAUAAUUUAAUUUAUAAAUAUAUUUUUGUUUUAUCAAUAAUAACAUUUAAUUUGCAACUGCAGGGGAUCUCUACUCCCUAGUGUUGGCUCGAGGAGACCUUGGCAACAACCAUUGCAACGAAUAUAUGAUAAGUUUUAUCACGACAAUUACUUGUUAAUUAAUUUCUUUGCACUUGAUGUACAACACAUAUCAUAUUAUAUCAAUUUUAAAGCUAUAUACUGAGAAUUCUAACAUAAUCAAAUGCAUAUAGGAGCAAUUAAUUGACAAUCAACACACCAAUUAGGAAAGCUAAACAUGUAUAAGGAAUUUACUGAGUAUCAGUAACAUAGUAGAAAUAUGAUAAAGUUAUGGUGAGACAUCUGUGACAAAAAAAUAAGUCAAUAUUUAAUUAUUAAAUAUAAAUUAUCACUAUAUUUGGUAUUGAGAUGUUGUGAUUAAAAAAAAUGAGAAAGUAUGGUAAUAUGUAAUAAUUUUAAAAGUUAUUAUGACUUUUUAUUAUAUAAAUAAAAUAAACUUAAUUUUUAGAUUAUAGCAGUAAGUAUUUAUUAAGC
rnacentral:lncRNA from 1 species